rnacentral:lncRNA from 1 species
UUCCCUGAGGAGGUGGCUAUGAUGGUAGAACUUACAAGACUUCAGUGGACAUAAGUACAAGUAUCACACAAAGACAUUCUGGAGAAUGGCAGAAAAGUGAGCGAAGCCAGAAAAACAACACUUCAAAAGGAGACGGGGUCAAGGUGGCAGGCAAGAUGGUCAAAUAGAAGUAGCUUCAGUCUGCAGCUCCCAGUGAGAUCAACACAGAAGGCAGGUGGUUUCUGCAUUUCUAACUGAGCCUCUGCUGGUGAUACCCAAGCAAACAGGGUCUGGAGUGGACCUCCAGCAAACUCCAGCACACCUGCAGCAGAGGGGCCUGACUGUUAGAAGGAAAACGAACAAACAGAAAGGAAUAGCAUCAACAUCAACAAAAAGGACAUCCACACAAAAACCCCAUCUGAAGGUCACCAGCAUCAAAGACAAAGGAAACAAUGCCAAGAAUACGUUAAUCUAAACCCAUGAUGUUUCUACAUCUCAAAGAACAGAGAGAAAAGGAAACUGGAGAGAGGCCAGAAGUGACCAACUCUAUUCCCUCAUUUCUGUGUUAUACUCCCUUUGUCUAAUCUUCCCUACCCUACCAGGUGGUUUAAGAAUUUUAUCCUUUCUCCAGACUAGAAGAGGAAGUGGGGGCCGGAAUUAGGUGUAUACAAAUUGUUGGAAAGCCUUUGUGUGGAUUUGGAGGGCUGAAGUAGAGUAUCAUUUUUACAAAGCAGCCCAAGCCUCUAAUCUGAGCAGGAAGAUUCACACUCAUUCUCUGGCAUGAGUCCUAUCAGGAGGAUCAAUGAAGCCAAGGCUGUAGAAAUAAAUAAUUAAUCUCUCCACCCAAGGAGGCUAGUAAACAAUAUUCAAUACGUGAAUACUGAGUUCUGCCAAGAGGAAGAAGCAUAUAAACCAGGCAACUGCUGAACGCAUUGCCAAAAAGGGAGACUUACGCAUCAUUCACUAAAGCUUUCCAAAAACUAAAUCAGAUCCAAGAACAGAUAAACUCCUGCAGAAUGACAAUGGUGGAGAAAUUGACCUCCCAGCAUUGCAGACUUACAUCAGUUGUUCUGAUGUUCUUAGUUAUAUCAGAUUCCUUCCAGAAUCUUCUAAAUAUAUCAGACGGUCAGACACAACCCCAGGCCCUAAUAAAAAACCCUGAUGCUGGCCUA